GGCGUGAUUGGCAUCUACAUGGCGUUUCUGUUCGCCAACAUGGAGAUCGAGGAUUAUGAUUGGUUGGUGCUGCAUAUUUGCUGCGGACACUGGACCAUCUGGCAUAUGGGGAUCGUAGCCUCAGUGGUGCUUCUUACAUUAUCUAGCCUUGGAUCUAUGAGCAUCUGAGGUUCAUGUGCCCAGAUCUCAGCCGCCCUGAGGAGCUUUCCUUCCCAGUGACUAUUGAGAUGGGGGGAUAAUCAUAUAGCGAGGGAGCGAUCUGUCAUUCCUGCGGGGUCCACUGCCAGCUCUCUUUUGAUCAGUGUCACUGUGGUUGACUGGAGGCCCGUUUUGAGGACCAACUUUCCCGAUGCUGUACGGCAAUAUUGAGCCAUAGCCUUGACUCAGCUGAGGGUGUUGUUUUGAGGUCCUGAGGGCCGAGCUUGGUACUUGGGAGAG